ACUGCAUCGGAGUAGGCACACUGCAAAGACGAGACGAGUCCUCCCCAGAGAGGGGAGGCGGUUAAGGAGAGGAGAUUGCGUGGCUCGGAGCAGCCAGACCCGAUGGUGUGCUUCUCACCUCAGCGUGAUAGCCUGACCUUGACUCCUGAGUUCCACGAUCGCUUCACAACUGCAAGUCACCAUCAUACAAAAUUUGAGUUUCCCUAAGUCCGCGCCUUUGAGAGCUUUGGAACGAUAUGCAAGUUCAAGUCACCAUCCUGUUUCUUGCUACCUCCUGUGAGAAGACCAACAUUUGGGUUACACUUGUUUCUACUCUUGUUCUUCUGCUUGUUAUUGUUGCCUCUGCAGCCAUUGAUCACACACGUGUUGUCAUACAAAAACUGCACAUUGGUAAAGACUUUAUAACUUCCAGGACAAUGCAGAUUGAUGUUGAUUAAUAAAGAGCAGGCAACCUUCUGUUUUUGGCUCUAAUAGAAAUGCCUCAUUGUUUAACUAUUAUAAUUGCCAUUGUUUCUGAUAAAUGCCCCUUUUCAAGUUAUGGAAAUGCCCUUCUGUUCUUGAUUGACUUAUAAUUUUAUCAGGGAUGGAUAAAGAAUGUUAUCAAGAUGCCUCUUCUGGCAUCUGACAAGCUGAUAUCCAGGUGAUGAUAUGGUUAUUCUCUCUAAUCCAUUAAUGUAGUUAAUUACAUAAUGUUGAGCUAUUCUUAGAUUCCUGGAAUAAAACUGAUUUGGUAAUGGUG
rnacentral:lncRNA from 1 species